UACGGGGGGGGCAAGCGUUGUUCGGAAUUACUGGGCGUAAAGGGCUCGUAGGUGGCCAACUAAGUCAGACGUGAAAUCCCCAGGCUUAACCUGGGAACUGCGUCUGAUACUGGAUGGCUUGAAUUCGGGAGAGGGAUGCAGAAUUCCAGGUGUAGCGGUGAAAUGCGUAGAUAUCUGGAGGAAUACCGGUGGCGAAGGCGGCAUCCUGGACCGACACUGACGCUGAGGAGCGAAAGCCAGGGGAGCAAACGGG
rnacentral:rRNA from 1 species